ensembl:snRNA U6 U6 spliceosomal RNA
UGAGUAAGAAAUAUAAUGACACAGAGAAUAUUAGCAUGGAUCCUGUGCAAGGAUGGCAUACAAUUUCACGAAGCAUUCCAUAUUAAA